UCUUGUAUUGGUUUAAGCCUUUUGCAUGAUUUAGAAAACAACAUAUCCUUAAUGCAAAGCCAUUCACUUGAUCAAUUGAUCAAGAUGAAUUAGAUUUGGAUCAAGGAAGAUUAAGUUUCCCUAAUUAAUGCUAACUUAUCAACCUUCAACUCAUUGAUCAAAAAGAAAAAAAAGAAGGAGAAGAAGAAGGAGAUGGAUAAUGGAAAUAAAAA
rnacentral:lncRNA from 1 species